UAUAUUAGAUUGGUGCAAAAGUAACUGCGGUUUUUGACUUUAAAGUAAUGUCAAAAACCACAAUUCCUUUUGCACCAGCCUAAU
rnacentral:miRNA from 1 species